ACAGGGCAGUACGGGUUUUCAGUUUUCAUUGAGGUGCACAAGCAAUUUCCACCACAAUAUUUGGUGUUUGUGAGCUGGAUCUAAACAUAGCGUUCUGCCCCCAAUAAUAUAUUUAUGAUAGAUGCGUCACAAACUGAAAAGGAAACCCGAGCGACACCCGAUUCCAACCUGUCAAUCUUUACCCUCUAACAACUCAAAGGAACCCGACUGGUCGGAGUACAUACACAAAACAGUUCAGCGGAGAAUCCAUGUUUGAAGAAUAUCUUAUGAGUUCCAAUCUGUUUCUGUGGCUACUCUUCCCCCCUCCCGCGAGCAAGCCGCUUGAUUCCGAACCAGCAUCUUUUCUUGUCUUAUUUUUUUCCAGGAUCCACACCCACAGGGUCGCCAUGCCGUAAUCGACAUAGGAUUUGUCCUAUAUCCUUCAUAACCAGGGGUUGCGUCCCUGUCGUUGGCCCGUUUGCCUCUUUACUUUGAUUCUUCCGUCUCCGCAAUACGCGCAAUUUUGGUUACGCGGUUCCAUUGUUAUUCCAGCACGUAUCUGAUCUGGCAUACAAGAACGAUGGUUCCAUCCAGUGUCAUGUAAUUCACAUGGUGAAGAAAGAAAUUUAUCCAAUGAGAAGGCCUGUCAGAGCUAAGAUCAAAAGAAGAUCUGUCGUCAAGGCGAUGGGUGGAUAAUGAUGUGAGAUUGGAGAGUUAUGUUCCUCUGUUCAAAUAGAGCCAUGUCUGAGUUCCUAUGGGGGGAUACGUCACCAGCG
rnacentral:sRNA from 1 species